UACGUAGGGGGCAAGCGUUGUCCGGAAUUAUUGGGCGUAAAGCGCGUGUAGGCGGUCCGGUAAGUCGGCUGUGAAAGUCCAGGGCUCAACCCUGGGAUGCCGGUCGAUACUGCCGGACUAGAGUUCGGAAGAGGCGAGUGGAAUUCCCGGCGUAGCGGUGAAAUGCGCAGAUAUCGGGAGGAACACCAAUGGCGAAGGCAGCUCGCUGGGACGUUACUGACGCUGAGACGCGAAAGCGUGGGGAGCAAACAGG
rnacentral:rRNA from 1 species